CAGCCGCCGCGGGAAUACGUAGGGUGCAAGCGUUAAUCGGAAUUACUGGGCGUAAAGCGUGCGCAGGCGGUUCUAUAAGACAGAUGUGAAAUCCCCGGGCUCAACCUGGGAACUGCAUUUGUGACUGUAGAGCUGGAGUGCGGCAGAGGGGGAUGGAAUUCCGUGUGUAGCAGUGAAAUGCGUAGAUAUGCGGAGGAACACCGUUGGCGAAGGCAAUCCCCUGGGCCUGCACUGACGCUCAUGCACGAAAGCGUGGGGAGCAAACAGGAUUAGAUACCCCGGUAGUCCCUGUCUCUUAUAC
rnacentral:rRNA from 1 species